rnacentral:rRNA from 1 species
GACGAAGGGGGCUAGCGUUGUUCGGAAUUACUGGGCGUAAAGCGCGUGUAGGCGGUUGUUCAAGUCAGGUGUGAAAGCCUUGAGCUCAACUCAAGAAAUGCACUUGAUACUGGAUGACUAGAGGACCGGAGAGGAUAGUGGAAUUCCAGUGUAGUGGUGAAAUACGUAGAGAUUGGAAGAACACCAGUGGCGAAGGCGGCUAUCUGGACGGUUCUGACGCUAAGACGCGAAAGCGUGGGAGCGAACGG